CGGCGUCGCACGCUUCCAUUAUCCAAAAAUCUAAGUAGAGAGGAGAGGCGAUGGCCGCCGCCUGCUCUUUCCGUUCCAUCGUCCGGGCUCCUCCGCCUCCGCGGGGCCUCGCCAGGAGGUCAGUGCACUGCUGCAGCGCCGCUCCCGGUGGCGCCUCCACCUCCAAGCUCGUCAUGGAGGUUAAAGAGAGGCUGGAAAGGGAGCAUCCAGGCCUCCCGACGGGAAGAAGCGGGAGGGAUGAUGACGAGAUGAUCCUCUGGUUCUUAAAGGACAGGAAAUUCGCCGUUGAUGAGGCUGUCUCGAAGUUAACCAAGGCCAUUAAAUGGCGUCAAGAUUUUCAUGUGUCAGAAUUAUCAGAAGAAUCAGUGAAAGGGUUGUUUCAAACUGGCAAGGCAUAUGUGCAUUCUUCUUUUGACAUCUACAACAGACCUGUGCUAGUAGUAGUGGCAGCCAAACAUUUUCCUUCUAAACAAGAUCCACUUGAAAAUGAGAAGCUAUGCGCCUUUUUGGUCGAAAUGGCUUUAAAUAAACUUCCAACGGGAACAGAUAACAUACUUGGAAUUUUUUAUCUUCGAGGCUUCCGUGUAGAAAAUGGUGAUCUCCAAUUCUUAAAGUUCUUGAUUGAUGUAUUUUACUAUUACUAUCCGAAGCGGCUUGGCCAAGUUCUUUUUGUGGAUGCACCAUUUGUGUUUCAGCCAAUGUGGCAGCUUGUUAAACCUCUGUUGAAACAAUAUGCCUCCCUGGUGAGAUUUUGUGAUGCUGAGACUGUGAGAAAAGAGUACUUCACAGAAGAAACUGUACCCCCUGAUUUCCGUUGUUAGGUGUCACCAUUACCUUUCUUAAUACCGAGUGGCGGGUUGUCAUAAUGUUAAUGGCUGCGGCCCUGAUUCUGUUGCUAGCUUAUGUUGCCAUAGUACAACCAUGGAGUCCACGGGAAUUCUCGUAUUCAUCACUAUCUGCCUCCGGAACGUUGGAUGCUAGUUGAGAUAUGUAAAAGCAAUAUUCACCAAAAAAAAAAGAGAUAUGUAAAAGCAAACCAGGGCCAUCUUGAAAUCCUUCGUCAACACCAGUUCUGGGUCGUGGGAGAAACUUUU